rnacentral:rRNA from 6 species
GGGUUGUGAGGUUAAGCGACUAAGCGUACACGGUGGAUGCCCUGGCAGUCAGAGGCGAUGAAGGACGUGCUAAUCUGCGAAAAGCGCCGGCGAGGUGAUAUGAACC